rnacentral:rRNA from 1 species
UACGUAGGAUGCUAGCGUUGUCCGGAUUUACUGGGCGUAAAGCGCGCGCAGGCGGCACUGUAAUUAAGGUGUGAAAUCUCCCUGCUCAACGGGGAGGGUGCACUUUAGACUGCAGAGCUAGAGGACGGUAGAGGGGGGUGGAAUUGCUGGUGUAGCGGUGAAAUGCGUAGAGAUCCGGAGGAACCCCAGAGGCGAAGGCGGCGCCCUGGCUCGCAACUGACGCUCAGACACGACAGCAUGGGGAGCGAACGGG